AUUGAACGCUGGCGGCACGCUUAACACAUGCAAGUCGGACGGCAGCACGAGAGGGGUAACCCUCUGGGUGGCGAGUGGCGGACGGGUGAGUAACGCGUAGGGAUCUGCCUAUUAGAGGGGAUAAGCCGUGGAAACCGGGCGUAAUACCCCAUUAGCCCCGGGGGGGAAAGGGUGGGAGGUGGAAACGGGCCCAUUCCCAAAUGAUUAACCUGCGUUAGAUUAGCUAGUUGGUAGGGUAAAGGCCUACCAAGGCGAUGAUCCAUAGCUGGUCUGAGAGGAUGACCAGCCACACUGGAACUGAGAUACGGACCAGACUCCUACGGGAGGCAGCAGUGGGGAAUAUUGGACAAUGGGGGAAACCCUGAUCCAGCGAUGCCGCGUGUGUGAAGAAGGCCUGAGGGUUGUAAAGCACUUUAGUUGGUGAGGAAAGGGGAUGCGUUAAUAGCGCGUUCAAGUGACGUUAGCCAAAGAAUAAGCACCGGCAAACUCUGUG
rnacentral:rRNA from 1 species